GACCCGUUAGCUCAGUAGGUAGAGCAUCUGACUUUUAAUCAGGGGGUCGGGCGUUCAAAUCGCCCACGGGUCACCA
rnacentral:tRNA from 1 species